rnacentral:rRNA from 1 species
GACAGAGGGUGCCAACGUUGUUCGGAAUUACUGGGCGUAAAGCGCGUGUAGGCGGCUUGAGCAAGUCGGGUGUGAACGCCCCAGGCUCAACCUGGGAAGUGCAUUCGAUACUGCGGAGCUGGAGUCCCGGAGAGGGUGGUGGAACUCUCGGUGUAGAGGUGAAAUUCGUAGAGAUCGAGAAGAACACCGGUGGCGAAGGCGGCCACCUGGACGGAGACUGACGCUGAGACGCGAAAGCGUGGGGAGCAAACAGG